CUCUGUGCUACAAACCAGCCACUGGAGGGAAGAUUUAUCAUCUGCUUAUCUUGUCUGAAUAUGUAACAUUUACGUCAUCAUGUUGGUUAAGACUUAAAAUCAGGCUAUGAAGGAAAGUCAGACUUCAGCAAUCACUACUUCAGUGGUUUGAAUAGGAAAUGCUUGAUAUCCAAGUGUGCUGUGGAUUUUCAUUCUGAUGACUUGAUAACAUGGAAGGCUACUCUUCUGGCUCAUUAAUGUGAGGAUUCAACAGAAUCAUUUGCCCUUGGCAACAGGAAACUCUCCAAGAGCCAACAGAAUCCAUCCAAAUCCAUAAGCCUCCGGUGUGAAAGCUAUAAAUCAACUUAUUCAAAGUCUGGAGCUUGAAGAUCAUUCCCUUUUGCUCAAUGACAGAAUCUCUAGUCAUCACUGGCCUUGCUGUAAAAGAGGACACAUAGUAAAGAUCAGACAGCCCAAUACAUGCUUGUGUG
rnacentral:lncRNA from 1 species